rnacentral:rRNA from 1 species
UACAGAGGUCCCAAGCGUUGUUCGGAUUCACUGGGCGUAAAGGGUGCGUAGGCGGCCGGGUAAGUCUGAUGUGAAAUCCCGCAGCUUAACUGCGGAACUGCAUCGGAUACUCUCCGGCUAGAGGAAUGGAGGGGAGACUGGAAUUCUCGGUGUAGCAGUGAAAUGCGUAGAUAUCGAGAGGAACACCAGUGGCGAAGGCGAGUCUCUGGACAUUUCCUAACGCUGAGGCACGAAAGCCAGGGGAGCAAACGGG